AGGACAAACGCUGGCGGCGUACCUAAGACAUGCAAGUCGAACGGGCGCUUCACCUUCGGGUGGGUGUGCUAGUGGCGGACGGGUGAGUAACGCGUAGGAACCUGUCAUCAAGAGGGGGAUAACGCUGGGAAACCGGCGCUAAUACCGCAUGUGGUCAUGAAAAUGAAGAAAGCAGCAAUGCGCUUGAUGAGGGGCCUGCGUCCGAUUAGCUUGUUGGUGGGGUAAAGGCCUACCAAGGCAUCGAUCGGUAGCUGGUCUGAGAGGAUGGUCAGCCACACUGGGACUGAGACACGGCCCAGACUCCUACGGGAGGCAGCAGUUAGGAAAUUUUCCCAAUGGGCGCAAGCCUGAGGGAGUAACGCCGCGUGGAGGAUGACGGCUUUCGGGUUGUAAACUCCUUUUCUGUGGAAGAGUAGAAGACGGUACCGCAGGAAUAAGCCUCGGCUAACUACGUGCCAGCAGCCGC
rnacentral:rRNA from 1 species